GUGGGCUCUGUCUGCUGUUAUUUCCCAGUGUCAUCAGAUAACUUCGAGUUGGAAGCUGAUACGCUUUGAAAUGCUUGGGACAAAAAAGACAAUCUUUGUAGCCAGGGUUCGGUCAGUGAGAGAAAAAUCUUGUGGAAGAGAUCUGAAAUUCUCCAAUUCCUCUUCUUUGUUUCAUCUAGUUAUUGCAAAGCCUGGAAAUAAGAUGAAAUUCAGAAGAAAAAAAGUUUAGAGUGGACGAAGGCAACUUUUUCAGAUUUUUCCACAUUGAUCUACCAGAGUGGGCCUGUGUAUGCACCAUGAGGUUGUAUAAAGAAACUGACUCCAUGUACAGCACCAAAUGUUUGCAGAUUAUAGAUAUAAGAAGGUCAAGGGAAAGAAAACAAGAGUAUCUGAAAGAUUGCUAAAGGGCAGAAUUCAUUCAUUAAAUUAUUUUAUUAAAUUUAAAGUGAAAAAUUAAUAUUUAUUAAUAGUGCUUCAUUUCUUUCUUUUCUCCACUUUUUUCCUGGUUUACCAAAAGAAGCCUCUCAUUUAUGCCCAUAGCUUAACACAAAGCACAUUUUUUAGUUUGGAAGGAAAAAUGUGACCGUCUAUCUAUAAGUAAUAUACAAAAAGUUAAUCCAUGAAAGAGAGGCCCUGUCUACCCAAAAGCUUCUCCUCUCUCUCUACGUGCAAUUUUUUUUACAUUCACUGAACAUUUACUGAACAGCUGAAAGGAAGAAAAUCUUGUACCCUUUUCGCUUUUCCCAGAAGCUGUACUGUAUUUGUUGGAAUGAAUUUCAGGACUUGCUUCCCAUCCUCAGAUGAUGAAGACCUGUGAACUUCCUCACCAGGUCAGCAGCCAGAGCUGGAGGAUUUGUGGUGAUACAUGUUUCGAAGCCAGAAAUUCUUGGGAAAGAGAAGAACUCGGAUACAGAUAUUGGCUGUUCUCUAUACCCUGGACCCUCAAGAAAUGCAGUGUUUAAAUUUUGGUGCCAGAAAUCAAUCAAAUGGACAGUCGUAGAAAAGUAAAAAUGUUCUCGGAACAACUGGAGGUAAUUUUUGACCUUAGCUAGUCUGGCAACCUUAACUUGGAUUUCUCAGCCCCCGUAUUUGGCCUGCAUACUGUGGUUUGUACCUGAUCUCACCCCUUUUAGGGCCAGGCCCAGUUCAUCUGGCUGGAAUUUUUCCUGUGUGUGCUAAAAGAUAAGUACAACAACUGACUCACUACUCUUGCCAGCAUGUCUUUCUGUUGCACAAAAAGAAAGCAACAACAUAGGCUGCCGUGAAUACAUUUGGCAAGCCUGACUUGUAGGAAUGACUUCCAUAUGGUGUAAGAUUAGGAUCAGUUAUUCAAACACAGGGUCGUUAAAGAAUCCUAAGGCAUUUUGAGUGUCCUGAAAGAAAAGAUCAAGAAAGAAAAAAUAUACUGAAACAUUUCAGUGAUUCUGUAAGUAAACUUACAUAGGCAUAUAGCCUGUUAUUUAAACUAUCUGGGGAUGAAAUGAUGCUUUAAGGAAAAAAUUCCCACUAACAAAAGAGGCAAUUCUUAUUACUCUUCAAAGAGGACAAGAAAUAAAAGGUAUGUAAACAACUGAACAAAUCUAUAAAAAAUACAUAUAUAUGUAUAUGAAUAUAAAAUAUAGCCUAAAAUCUCAUCUUGAUAUAGAGAAUAUCAUUUGUUUUUAUAAGGUUCAUAUGGGGAAGUGGAAGCUCAGAGCCGUCAACUGACUUGUCCAAAGGGAUGCCAUGGACUUGCACGCCUUGGGCUUUCCCUGACUUAGAACAGUUCUCUGUGUACAUAUGUAUGUUUGUGUAUACUCGUAUAUCAUUUGUACUAGAUUGUGUAUCAUUUAUAUUAGGUUUUCGAUAUCUAAAAAGUAAAUAUUAUGUUCAACUCCUAUCUGUAUUCUAAUGUAAUACAUGCCACAUUUCCUGGCAAAUAGCAAGCACUUAAUAAUUAUUUGCUAAACAGAAUUUAUAAAAACAAGUUAACAUAUCAGUGACAGUGCAAUUUCUAUGCACAGUAAUAAUUCAUUUACUUGCUCAUUUAUUUUACAAACACUU